GAAGCUUCUCGAAUGGUCCGUUAUAAAUGGCGAUGGUUGAUGAAGGUGCGAGGCCAUUUCGUUCUCCGACUCUGACAUCGAACCACCACAGUUAACGUUUACGAGAGAAUGCAUGUGAUUUCCAAAGCUUGACGAAUUGCCUGCGGCAUUGCGUUCACGAUCAACGAUUUUGGCCGACUGUAUAGGUGCAUAUGUUUACAUGAAUUCACAUAGCCGUGAACGGAAUACGCCUGAGGUAGCCCGAGGCUUACCUGGUCGGCUUAACGAGAAUCAUCAAUAGACGUUCGUAGAGUCGAUGCUUGGCUUUCUCUGAUAAAAGAAGAAUCAACACAAGCAAUCAGUGCUUCUGAAUAAUGCAAACUAGAAUUCCAUCGCUGACGUGAUCUAUGUAAAUACGCCUUGAGGAAGCAGCUAGAAGACAUGGAUGCAAGCAAAUUUUUUGUUGCCUAUUCAAGACGCGAAUGGACUUCAGUGAGUUGAUAAAGGAUAAAAGAGAUUCAGCACCGAUCGAAAAUCAUUAUCACGAGUAUGCUAUUCUGGAUACCAAUUACUGUACACCGGAAGUUCUCGACCGGAUGAAGGAAGGACGAGCGUCACAGCCUUGCCAUGUGCAAUGUCAGCAGCGACUGCUCGCUCGAUAUCGCGUUCAAGUAGCUCAGAUGCUCAAAAGAGCGAAACGUCCGUGAGGUGAUUGCUUCUCAGUUUGAAUUUUUUUCUUUUCAAUAAUUCAGGUGAACACUCAACAUAUACGUACAGCCAUUAAAUUCUGGUUUUAUUUUAGCAGACGAGGUCUGAAUGGCUGAUUUAAAAAAGGUGGCUCACGACGCAUACAGAAUAAUCCAUUCCUGGAUUUCCCAGCAACCACCACUCCCCUGUACGUAUAGAGUCCAACCCAGGGUUGCUCACGUUAUUAUUAUUCAGCCAAUAGGAAAGGGAAUUCCUGGACGAUCAAGAUCUUGGAGAAACCAGGAUUGCUGCUCGAAUCGCUUUGUUCGCCGUGUUCGUUUCGUUCCGGAACGGUAAUUGGAAGUGGAAUUCUAGAGUUCGCAUGCUCCGUCUUACAUUAGCUUGAGACCUGUUGCGCAACGUAACUCGCGCGUAUGGUUAUACAACGGCGUACAACUGCUGAGAAAUGUAAUACCUUUUUGUAGGUGGUGCGCGCGAGUGUGAUUGUUUGCUUCUAAAGAAUUUCGAUGGAUAAGACACGCGCGCUGCUGUGAUUACCCGGCGUGCAAUGCUCGGCAGUCAAGUAAGACACUAACUGUGCAACAGUACAAGUCUGAAGUUAUCCAACAGUCUUAUUGGCUAUCGGACGAGUAUCGAUUCUCAUGUUCAUCAGCGACAAUCUUCGUCAGGACAGUCAUUCCUAGCUGAGGAUAUAAUCGAAUGGCGUCUUGGCGUGGAAAGUGCGGCUCUCCAUUCUCAAGCAAUUCAUUCGUCUCGCAGUCUAAUUAACUCCGUUAAGGAGUUACGAGCUAUGAAAAAUACGUAAAAAGAAACUGCUGGAAAACGUGAGACCUCGCAAGACGGGGAAAACUCUCAGGACUUCGAGAAGCGUUUACACGAGGUUCGUCGAUCGAGAAAUGUAAACGGCGUCGCCCGAUCGAUUCUCGGCGAACACAGGAGAGCAAGCGCACGGGAAUCGUACGUAGCCUCGUACAAUCGGCCGACGCCGACGCCUCCUCCGCCACCAGGCGCCCUCAACCUCCCACACCUGCCACACCUCCGAGUCUCUCUGUACCUCAUCCAUUGGUAUCAACCUGCCUCGUUCUCUUCAUAUUUAUUUUUACUUCAGUCCUGUUCUCGUCUACCUAUAGCUUACUGGUUGGAAUUAAGAAUUCGAUCGAUCCACCCUCUUCCGCUGGUCCUUCGACUCCUCUUGCAACCCACCCUCGUCACAUUUUUGUCUCGCGCAACGAACUCGAGUUGCUUAUAGUAUCUCAGUAAGUCAUCUCCAUGAGUGAUUAACGUUGCUUAGGAAUCGAUUUUUUUUUAAACAGUUGCUUAUCGCUUCAGCUGGAUAUUCAACUGGUUAAUAAGCGAAUUAAGUAAAGAGAAAAAAACUGAUAGCUGCUUAAUAAUUAACGUGCGUAGACAUUUUUAGUAGAAAUAAAUAAUUAGAAUUUAUAUCCAAAAGCGAAACGAGAGACGCGAGUGGGAUAUUGUUUGUAGAUAAUUUUUCUGUCAUUAAUUCUGACAUUAGCAAUUAGCUGAUGAAGCGCGUGACUUCUCUGAUAAUAAUUACAAAUAUAUUAAUGCUAACGCAUGAGCCUCACCCUGCUGUAUAUACGGGUAAUUGAAUAUACAGAUAUAUAAAUUCUCUUGAAAUUCUUUCCUGUAAAUUUCCUGUUUGCGAGAUCCUCAUGGUCGAUUAGCAUCUCGUUUCUUUGCGUAACUUCUCUCGCUCGAAUGCUUAAAUCAUUACUAGCGCGGUGGACCAUACAGCGUUUAGAUGUUAGAUAAUCCUAGUUCACAACAGGUAGACCAAUAGGCUGAUAGCUACGACGUACUUGUAAAUAACUCUUUAAAUAAUUCUAGAAGGUUCAGGAAUUGUAACAGGUGCCCAAAGACUUUUGUAUGAUUUUUACUAAAAAAAAAAA